rnacentral:rRNA from 1 species
AUUGAACGCUAGCGGGAUGCCUUACACAUGCAAGUCGAACGGAGUGGCGGACGGGUGAGUAAUGUAUCGGAACGUGCCCAGUAGCGGGGGAUAACUACGCGAAAGCGUAGCUAAUACCGCAUACUAUUAGAGCGGCCGAGAUCGGAUUAGCUAGUUGGUGGGGUAACGGCUCACCAAGGCGACGAUCCGUAGCUGGUUUGAGAGGACGACCAGCCACACGGGGACUGAGACACGGCCCAGACGCCUACGGGAGGCAGCAGUGGGGAAUUUUGGACAAUGGGCGAAAGCCUGAUCCAGCCAUGCCGCGUGUGUGAUGAAGGUCUUCGGGUUGUAAAGCACUUUUGGUAGGAAAGCGUUACCUGCAGAAUAAGCACCGGCUAACGACGUGCCAGCAGCCGCGGUAAUUC